rnacentral:rRNA from 1 species
AGUGAACGCUGGCGGUAGGCCUAACACAUGCAAGUCGAACGGCAGCACAGUAAGAGCUUGCUCUUACGGGUGGCGAGUGGCGGACGGGUGAGGAAUACAUCGGAAUCUACUUUUUCGUGGGGGAUAACGUAGGGGAACUUACGCUAAUACCGCAUACGACCUACGGGUGAAAGCAGGGGAUCUUCGGACCUUGCGCGAUUGAAUGAGCCGAGGUCGGAUUAGCUAGUUGGCGGGGUAAAGGCCCACCAAGGCGACGAUCCGUAGCUGGUCUGAGAGGAUGAUCAGCCACACUGGAACUGAGACACGGUCCAGACUCCUACGGGAGGCAGCAGUGGGGAAUAUUGGACAAUGGGCGCAAGCCUGAUCCAGCCAUCCCGCGUGGGUGAAGAAGGCCUUCGGGUUGUAAAGCCCUUUUGUUGGGAAAGAAAAGCAGCAGGUUAAUACCCCGCUGUUCUGACGGUACCCAAAGAAUAAGCACCGGCUAACUUCGUG